AUGGUGAAGAUCUGCUGCCUUGGGGCUGGCUAUGUAGGUGGCCCAACAAUGGCGGUCAUUGCCCUCAAGUGCCCUGACAUUCAGGUGGUUGUGGUAGAUAUCACCAAGUCCCGGAUUGAUGCCUGGAACAGUGACACACUGCCAAUCUAUGAGCCUGGCCUUGAUGAAGUCGUGAAGCAGUGCCGUGGAAAGAACCUCUUCUUCAGCAAUGACAUUGAGAAGCAUGUUAGCGAGGCUGACAUCAUCUUUGUGUCGGUAAACACCCCAACCAAGACCCGUGGUCUUGGAGCUGGUAAGGCUGCUGAUCUCACUUACUGGGAGAGUGCAGCUCGCAUGAUUGCUGAUGUGGCCAAAUCAGACAAGAUCGUGGUCGAGAAGUCCACUGUUCCAGUCAAGACUGCUGAGGCAAUUGAGAAGAUCUUGACCCACAACAGCAAUGGCAUCAACUUCCAGAUCCUCUCCAACCCAGAGUUCCUUGCUGAGGGUACUGCUAUCCAAGACCUAUUUAACCCUGACCGUGUUCUUAUUGGAGGACGUGAGACCCCAGAAGGUCAGAAGGCUGUUCAGACGCUGAAGGCUGUGUAUGCGCAUUGGGUUCCUGAGGAUCAGAUUCUGACAACCAACUUAUGGUCUGCGGAGCUGUCGAAGCUUGCAGCCAAUGCGUUCUUGGCCCAGAGGAUCUCCUCUGUGAAUGCCAUGUCAGCCCUCUGCGAGGCCACUGGUGCAAAUGUUUCUGAGGUGUCCUAUGCUGUGGGCAAGGACUCUAGGAUUGGCCCAAAGUUUUUGAAUGCCAGUGUUGGAUUUGGAGGCUCUUGCUUCCAGAAGGAUAUCCUCAACCUGGUUUACAUCUGCGAGUGCAAUGGCCUCCCAGAGGUCGCCAACUACUGGAAGCAGGUGAUCAAGAUCAAUGACUACCAGAAGAGCCGGUUUGUGAACCGUGUUGUUUCCUCUAUGUUCAACACGGUUGCGAACAAGAAGAUUGCGGUGCUUGGUUUUGCAUUCAAGAAGGAUACUGGUGACACUAGGGAGACUCCAGCUAUUGAUGUCUGCAAGGGUCUGCUUGGUGACAAGGCUAAGAUCAGCAUUUAUGAUCCUCAGGUGACUGAAGACCAAAUCCAGCGUGACCUUGCGAUGAACAAAUUUGACUGGGACCACCCUGUUCAUCUCCAGCCCAUGAGCCCCACGACUACAAAGCAAGUCUCGGUUACCUGGGAUGCAUAUGAGGCGACCAAGGAUGCCCAUGGCAUCUGCAUCAUGACUGAGUGGGAUGAGUUCAAGACUCUGGACUACAAAAAGAUCUACGACAGCAUGCAGAAGCCCGCCUUUGUUUUUGAUGGUCGCAACGUUGUUGACUCUGAGAAGCUCAGGGAGAUUGGCUUCAUUGUCUACUCCAUUGGCAAGCCACUCGACGGUUGGCUCAAGGACAUGCCUGCUGUGGCUUAA
rnacentral:rRNA from 1 species